GGCGGCAGGCCUAACACAUGCAAGUCGAGCGGCAGCACGGGUACUUGUACCUGGUGGCGAGCGGCGGACGGGUGAGUAAUGCCUAGGAAUCUGCCUGGUAGUGGGGGAUAACGCUCGGAAACGGACGCUAAUACCGCAUACGUCCUACGGGAGAAAGCAGGGGACCUUCGGGCCUUGCGCUAUCAGAUGAGCCUAGGUCGGAUUAGCUAGUUGGUGAGGUAAUGGCUCACCAAGGCGACGAUCCGUAACUGGUCUGAGAGGAUGAUCAGUCACACUGGAACUGAGACACGGUCCAGACUCCUACGGGAGGCAGCAGUGGGGAAUAUUGGACAAUGGGCGAAAGCCUGAUCCAGCCAUGCCGCGUGUGUGAAGAAGGUCUUCGGAUUGUAAAGCACUUUAAGUUGGGAGGAAGGGCAUUAACCUAAUACGUUGGUGUCUUGACGUUACCGACAGAAUAAGCACCGGCUAACUCUGUGCCAGCAGCCGCGGUAAUACAGA
rnacentral:rRNA from 1 species